AACGAACGCUGGCGGCAUGCCUAACACAUGCAAGUCGAACGAGAUCUUCGGGUCUAGUGGCGCACGGGUGCGUAACGCGUGGGAAGCUGCCCUUUGGUUCGGAAUAACAGUUGGAAACGACUGCUAAUACCGGAUGAUGACGAAAGCCCAAAGAUUUAGCGCCAGAGGAUGAGCCCGCGUAGGAUUAGCUAGUUGGUGUGGUAAAGGCGCACCAAGGCGACGAUCCGUAGCUGGUCUGAGAGGAUGAUCAGCCACACUGAGACUGAGACACGGCCCAGACUCCUACGGGAGGCAGCAGUGGGGAAUAUUGGACAAUGGGCGAAAGCCUGAUCCAGCAAUGCCGCGUGAGUGAUGAAGGCCUUAGGGUUGUAAAGCUCUUUUACCCGGGAUGAUAAUGACAGUACCGGGAGAAUAAGCUCCGGCUAACUCCGUGCCAGCCGCCGCGGUAA
rnacentral:rRNA from 1 species